CCUUGGCAUCGGAUCCAUGGGCACCAGCUGAGGACAGGGUCCCCUCCCUUUGCCUGCCACAUAAAUAUUGGCAACGAGGACCCAGACUCUGAAGGACAGGACAUUCCAAAGAAAAUAGUUUUCAUUUUAAGUUGCCUUUAAAUGUGUAUAUAUAUAUAUGUGUGUGUGUGUGUGCAUACAUAUACAUAUAUAUAUAACAUAUACUGCAUAUUAUAUAUAUUGAAAUUGCACCUGUUUUGGCAUGAGGGUGAAGGCGAGUGAAAGAAGGUGACCGAGCCAGGAGGCGAGAGCGCACAGAUGGCUUGGUGGUGGUAUGGUGUGACGUGGAGAGCCGAAUGACAGAUGAAGUGCCACAUGAGGACACAAUGGAGGGAGCGCGCCAUCGCUAAGACCCCAAGGAAGAAGCGUGGCGAGCCCCGACAGUGGUGCUGGCCUCCGUCACCUCCCCGCCGAAGAUGGCCGUGUCCUCUAGCCUGGUCUGUAUGUACCACGAUUGCAGGUGCUGCAGGGAGGGGCUGCGUGGGCAGCGGGGCUGUGGAAUGGCGAGGGUACCUUUGCGUGGAUCCCAUUGGCACCGUCCACUCUUAGAAGUGUGGCUGGAUUUUCUCCUUCCUCUCUCUUUCAUCAUCACCAUCUGGGUCCCACUGCUUGGCACCCAACCAAGCCGAUGCCGCCCCAAUUGGCAGUACUGCACUGGCAUGUGACCAGUGACUCAGAUUCUGGCACUGCGGCAGACGGAGAGCCGCCAAACUUGCUCAGGAUAACCCCUUGGCGACCACAGAGGGAGAGGGGUCAUGUGCACGGAAGGGCAGGCUGGGUGGAGAGCUCCAUGAUGGGAAGUGGCACACCAGGCUGCCCUUCCCAGAUGGACUAAAGCUGGCAUUCCCCACAGUCUUCCACCUCUGCUGGUCUCCGGACUGCACACUCGUCUCUUUCCACCUCCACUAGCCCCAGUAAGGGGAUUUAGAUGGCACUGGACUGUUUCUGAGCAGCUAGGCAAAGGAAUCCGGAGCACAGAGGGACAGGACAUCAUCUACAGCCACACCUGAAGUCAGUGGCUGUGGACUUCUCUGGGCAGCUAGGACAGGAAAAA